rnacentral:rRNA from 1 species
GACAGAGGGGGCAAGCGUUGCUCGGAAUCACUGGGCGUAAAGGGCGCGUAGGCGGGCCACCAAGUCGGUCGUGAAAUCUCCGGGCUCAACCCGGAGGAGUCGGCCGAAACUGGUGGUCUUGAGGGAGGCAGAGGAGUCUGGAAUUCCCGGUGUAGCGGUGAAAUGUGUAGAGAUCGGGAGGAACACCGGUGGCGAAGGCGGGACUCUGGGCCUACCCUGACGCUGAGGCGCGAAGGCGUGGGGAGCAAACGGG